rnacentral:rRNA from 1 species
CCUACGGGAGGCAGCAGUGAGGAAUAUUGGUCAAUGGACGCAAGUCUGAACCAGCCAUGCCGCGUGCAGGAAGACGGCUCUAUGAGUUGUAAACUGCUUUUGUACGAGGGUAAACGCAGAUACGCGUAUCUGUCUGAAAGUAUCGUACGAAUAAGGAUCGGCUAACUCCGUGCCAGCAGCCGCGGUAAUACGGAGGAUUCAAGCGUUAUCCGGAUUUAUUGGGUUUAAAGGGUGCGUAGGCGGUCGGAUAAGUUAGAGGUGAAAUCCCGAGGCUCAACUUCGGAAUUGCCUCUGAUACUGUUCGGCGAGAGAGUAGUUGCGGUAGGCGGAAUGUGUGGUGUAGCGGUGAAAUGCUUAGAGAUCAUACAGAACACCGAUUGCGAAGGCAGCUUACCAAGCUACUUCUGACGUUGAGGCACGAAAGCGUGGGGAGCAAACGGGAUUAGAUACCCCUGUAGUC